UACGUGGGUAAAUCUCUGUUCGGGGCUCUCAGCUCUGAAGGCUGUGUAUUUGAUUCUUCUCUCUUUUCUUCUUUAUUAGUCUUACUAGCAGUCCAUCAAUUUUGUUGAUCUUUUCAAAAAAACAGCUCCUGGAUUCAUUGAUAUUUUGAAGGGUUUUUUGUGUCUCUAUCUCCUUCAGUUCUGCUCUGAUCUUAGUUAUUUCUUGCCUUCUGCUAGCUUUUGAAUGUGUUUGCUCUUGCUUCUCUAGUUCUUUUAAUUGUGAUGUUAGGGUGUCAAUUUUAGAUCUUUCCUGCUUUCUCCUGUGGGCAUUUAGAACUAUAAAUUUCCCUCUACACACUGCUUUAAAUGUGUCCCAGAGAGUCUGGUAUGUUGCCUCUUUGUUCUCAUUGGUUUCAAAGAACAUCUUUAUUUCUGCCUUCAUUUCAUUAUGUACCCAGUAGUCAUUCAGGAGCAGGUUGUUCAGUUUCCAUGUAGUUGAGCAGUUUUGAGUGAGUUUCUUAAUCCUGAGUUCUAGUUUGAUUGCACUGUGGCCUGAGAGACAG
rnacentral:lncRNA from 1 species